AGACACCUUUUUAAAAUUACCCAUUAGAAUUAGAUUACCCUGUGACUACUCUGGCUUGUACAUCUUCACUUAUUUCUCGUGAUAUUUGUGGAUAGUAGAUGGCUACAUUCCUCCAGGAUAAAUAAAAUGAGGAGAGGUAGAGACAAAGACUGUAUCUCAGUUGAAGGGGAAAGAUGCUAAGAAAUAAAGAUGCUGUGGGGACACAGACCAGGUUAGUGGACACUAAGAAAGGAACACUUGCUAGGAGGGGGUUUCUGGCUAAGAUGGCAUUAUCUGAGACACUCUUGUUGAUAGUUUGUCAGAUAUGAAAAAUACACUGAUGGCUGUUGAAAGCCUUUUGGAUUAAUGGGACAUAAGUAGCUUCAACAACAACAUGGAAGAAUACAGAAUACCACCAUAUGAAAGAAACACAGAUUUCCAAUAGUCUGGAUCACAACUCAUUGACCCAAAGCAAGAGCUCAUAUGACUUGGAGGAGAAAGUCUAAGUACCUUAGUUUACACAGCUAAGACUAUGGUUGGCUUUUUCACUUUCUAACACAAAGUCCUAAGAGGGAGCUGUAAACAUUUCAUUUUCUAAAUGUGUCAAAAUGGUGCUAUUGAUUCCUUAAUACAAAGAUAGAAUUAUAAUAUUUUUAGGUGUGUUAAGCCCAGCUUGGCUAUAAAUGUAAAUACAUAAAAUGUUUGCAAAGCCUUCAACAAAAACAUGUCCAUUUGCUAACAGUUGAGGUACUGUGUUCUUCAGUGUGGGUGACUGACCUGAGUUUGCAUUUUCUGUUAAAGGAACAGGACAGCCACUGGCUCUCUCUCAACUGCCAAAAAUCUCCGACAUUUGCAGCUCACUAAGUUCUCCUUGGAUGCAGGUUGGACAAUCCAAGUCAAGGAUUAAGUAUGCUCAUUUGGUGAUAGUGGGGGUGUUGGCCAAGAACUUGGGGGAUGUGUGCUGUGAGCAAAACCAGUGCUGCCAGACUAAACUUUAGUGAGGUCCAGUGUAACUGAGUUCACCCAGACUGUCAGAACAUGCCAAAGGAAGCUACCCAGUACCUUGCAACUGGUCAACCUGUGAAAGAAUCUGCAUGUACAAUGUGACAAUAAAUCAUCUAAGAGCC
rnacentral:lncRNA from 1 species